AUGUAGCUGAUGAGUCCCAAAUAAGACAAAACGUGCGUCCUGGAU
rnacentral:hammerhead_ribozyme from 1 species